rnacentral:misc_RNA from 1 species
AACGGAGGGAGCUAGCGUUGUUCGGAAUUACUGGGCGUAAAGCGCGCGUAGGCGGCGACACAAGUCAGAGGUGAAAGCCCGGGGCUCAACCCCGGAACUGCCUUUGAAACUAGGUUGCUAGAAUCUUGGAGAGGUCAGUGGAAUUCCGAGUGUAGAGGUGAAAUUCGUAGAUAUUCGGAAGAACACCAGUGGCGAAGGCGACUGACUGGACAAGUAUUGACGCUGAGGUGCGAAAGCGUGGGGAGCAAACAGG